AUCCAGCUGACGGUCUCAAACAGGACGAAACGCUCGUCCUGGAU
rnacentral:hammerhead_ribozyme from 1 species